AAUAAUUGGCCGUGCACUUGAAAACGGAUCCAAAAGUGUGUACUUCAGGUUUUUUUUAUAAGUCGGUUCGAAACAUCUAGUAUACAGGUGUUUUGCUAAUAAGGAAUUAUACAUUGAUUCAAAAGUGUCCUAUUAGACUCAUUCGUAUUUUCUAGUAUUGAAUACGCGUGACAAGUGAUGCGGUGCCUUUGCAGAUACAGCUGUUUUUUUUUUUUCUUCUCAUAAAUAAAACAUCCACAUCGAAGAUACUAAUGUAUAGAUCGACUAAUGGAAAAUGUAAAAUGUAAAAUCACACGCAUUUUGGGGAAUAUACGAAGUUUGUCAAAAAAUUUGAUUUACAAAACAAAUAGAGAAUCCGCAAAUAUUUUUAAUAAUAGACACCCGCUUAGAAACAUUAGGUAUUCAACAGCUACAAAAAUUUUGAAUAAAUUUAAGGCUAGUGAAAGUAUAGAAAAUAAAUUUAAGAAUAAACGCCGAAAACGGUUGCGAAUGAAGACACUCAAUUUGAAGUGAUGCUUUUUGACUUAGGAGACCCAAAAAUGUCAUUAAAAAGGGCCUCUGCAAUCCAAACUACUUCAGUAAGUAAACAUACAGUGGCAAAUAUUUUGAAAGGUAAUAAAUAUCAUGCACACAAACCGCAAUUUGUACACACGUUACUACCAAGUGAUUACGAUAUUCGUUUUGAAUUCUGAGCUCUGAUCCAAGGAAAGUUGGAUGAAGACCCGUUUUUUUACAAGAACUACAAUAUUUUCCGAUGAAGCAACAUUUGCUUCAUACCGAAACGUCUCAUCACACAAUUGUCGCUGGUGGUCUAACAGUAAUCCAAACUCGGAACCAAUUUUCUUUUAAAACGAACGUAUAGUGUGGUGUGUAGACAAAUAAAUUAAUUGGACCUUUUUUUCCACAUUACUUUAAUGCCAUAUAAUACCACAAGUAAGUGAUUUUUUGCACGACCUUCCAUUACAAGAAUGUAUGAUAAUUUGGUUCCAACAAGAUUGAGCUUCCAUCCAUAGUAUGUUAAACGUUAGAGUACUACUUGAAAUGGGAAGGUGAUUUACAAGUAUCCAGAUAUUUUUUGGCCUCGUAAGUCUGCUGAUUUGACUCGCCUCAACUUUUUUUAAGGGGUUACUUAAAACAGCAGGUUUAUCAGCGAGGACUAUUUGAUGAUGUAGACCAUUGGCAGAGGAUUAUUCCUGAAGAAUGCGAGAAAAUUAUUCCAAAUAUGAUACGGAAAGUAAUUCAAGAGUUUGACAAAAAACAAUUAGAUGUUUACAAAGAAGAAGGCUGUAGGACAUUGAAUUGAGAUUUAAUUAUAUUUGUUUCUGUUUAAUAAAUAUUCUUCGUAUGGAUUUUUAAAUUUGUACAAUAAAUAAUUAUUAUGCAUUCAAUACGUACGUAAAUUGCAAAGUUGUUCUAAAACAGUAAUAAAU